UACAGAGGGUGCAAGCGUUGUUCGGAAUUACUGGGCGUAAAGGGCGCGUAGGCGGCUCGACAAGUCCCGCGUGAAAGCCCCCGGCUCAACUGGGGAACUGCGCGGGAAACUGUCGGACUUGAGUUCGGGAGAGGGAAGCGGAAUUCCGGGUGUAGCGGUGAAAUGCGUAGAUAUCCGGAGGAACACCGGUGGCGAAGGCGGCUUCCUGGACCGACACUGACGCUGAGGCGCGAAAGCGUGGGGAGCGAACAGG
rnacentral:rRNA from 1 species